GACUAGGUAGCCAGCUUGCUCUGGGGACCUGAACUGCAGACUUCACAGUUGUCUAGAAGACACUUUAAGUCAUCACUCCAGCCCUCGUUUACCUGCUUUAGAAUGGUCUCCUAAAUAGAUAACUUAUAUAACCUUUUGUGGGUAUGUCCGUGACGAGGAGCAGGAUGGAGGCCAGGAGGAAUUGCAGGAGUUAGGUCCUCUCAUCUUCCACCACCAUGUGGGACCUGGGAAUUAGAAUCAGGCACUCAGACUUUGCAGUGCCUUUGCCUGCAGUGGUGUUUCUCUAGCCCCACAGUACAGGAGUUUGAGAUUCAAGUUGCAUUGUCCUAACCAUAACCAAGUCAAUAUUUUUUGGUAUGGCAUGUUUACAUAUUGCAAUCAACUAAAUUUUUUAUUAUACUUAACCACUGUAUUAUUAUGAAAUAUCCUUUCAGUUAGAAAUGAGCCAUUUUCAAACUGACUAAUAGUUACUCUCAAUAAAAAGUGACAUUCCAACCAUUUUUGUUAUUAGCUUUUUUUAAAUUCUUUUUUCCUUUUGAGUAAGUUUAUGCUGGCAGAAUGCUAGGCACUGAGUUACAAGACCAGAUAAAUUCAGUGAGAUUCAUAGAGUUUAUCAUAUAUGAAGAAAAAUUCUACAUGAAUGUGCUGCCCCUGGGGGCUCAGUGGUUAAGAGCACUGACUGCUCUUCCAAAGGUCCUGAGUUCAAAUUCCAGCAGCCACAUGGUGGCUCACAACCAUCUGUAAUAAGAUCUGACACCCUCUUCUGGUGCGUCUGAAGUCAGCUACAGUGUACUAAUAAAUAAAUUUUUGGGCCGGAGCAAGCAGGGACUUGCUCCAGGGAGUGGGGUUGACCGGAGCAAGCAGAGGUCCUAAAAAUUCAAUUCCCAGCAACCACAUGAAGGCUCACACCAUCUGUACAUCUACAGUGUACUCACAUGC
rnacentral:lncRNA from 1 species